UUGGUUUUGUGGUGAUGUGGUAGUGAUCGCGACUGUGGACUUUCCUGGACUAUCAGAGGGUUUUGCUGGAGGGUAUACAGCGGUGUGACAAGCCAACAGCUGGAGCAGGAAGAUCCUUCUUGGCGUAGAGGGCAGGGUGGUUAGGCAACUCUCUCAAAGGCCCCCGUGGGGGUGGGUUUAUCCCAGCACAGCCAAUGCCUUCUGUCUCAAGGCCAGAGGCUUCUACGAGCUGCUUCCGGUGAUGGUGUCGCGGCUUAGCUCGUGUCAGCAGCCUACUUGGGGCCGAGGUUACUCCCGGACGAAAUGAGGGUGGCCAAAAUGCAGGUGAACACCAGUAUAGGGUGUCUUGGGUGCAACACAACCUCUACGUGGCAACAGACUUCACGGAGAUGCUGCCCCAGACCAGAGGGUUCACCAGGGCACGUAAUCCCUCACGCAACGUCUGCAGGGAGAUCAGGCUUCUGGCUUUUCCAGACUACACUCUCAGGGAGUCCGGAUCUUUCACCGCACGGGGUCGCCCGAGAAAAGGGAAAUCACUGCUGGAGUUCGAUCCUCGAGCACCGCAAAACCCACAAGGGAAGGAAAGGUCCAAGAUUCUAGUCAAAGUGGAGCUUUGACGGGCUUCAGAAUUUUCCCGCAGGGUGCGAAAUUCUUGCAGAAACCCAUCGUACCUCUCCAUCCUGUCCGUGAGCCACUCCUUCAAUCCGUCCAAUAUCUGGCUGGUCU